AAACCAACAGGGAUUGCCCUAGUAACGGCGAGUGAAGCGGCAACAGCUCAAAUUUGAAAUCUGGCUCUUUUAGAGUCCGAGUUGUAAUUUGCAGAGGGCGCUUUGGCUUUGGCAGCGGUCCAAGUUCCUUGGAACAGGACGUCACAGAGGGUGAGAAUCCCGUACGUGGUCGCUAGCUAUUGCCGUGUAAAGCCCCUUCGACGAGUCGAGUUGUUUGGGAAUGCAGCUCUAAAUGGGAGGUAAAUUUCUUCUAAAGCUAAAUAUUGGCCAGAGACCGAUAGCGCACAAGUAGAGUGAUCGAAAGAUGAAAAGCACUUUGGAAAGAGAGUCAAACAGCACGUGAAAUUGUUGAAAGGGAAGCGCUUGCAGCCAGACUUGCUUGCAGUUGCUCAUCCGGGCUUUUGCCCGGUGCACUCUUCUGCAGGCAGGCCAGCAUCAGUUUGGGCGGUGGGAUAAAGGUCUCUGACACGUUCCUUCCUUCGGGUUGGCCAUAUAGGGGAGACGUCAUACCACCAGCCUGGACUGAGGUCCGCGCAUCUGCUAGGAUGCUGGCGUAAUGGCUGUAAGCGGCCCGUCUUGAAACACGGACCAAGGAGUCUAACAUCUAUGCGAGUGUUUGGGUGUCAAGCCCGAGCGCGUAAUGAAAGUGAACGGAGGUGGGAACCCGCAAGGGUGCACCAUCGACCGAUCCUGAAGUUUACGGAAGGAUUUGAGUAAGAGCAUGGCUGUUGGGACCCGAAAGAUGGUGAACUAUGCUUGAAUAGGGUGAAGCCAGAGGAAACUCUGGUGGAGGCUCGCAGCGGUUCUGACGUGCAAAUCGAUCGUCAAAUUUGGGCAUAGGGGCGAAAGACUAAUCGAA
rnacentral:rRNA from 1 species